rnacentral:rRNA from 1 species
GACGAACGCUGGCGGCGUGCUUAACACAUGCAAGUCGAACGGAGUGGCGAACGGGUGAGUAACACGUGUGUGACCUGCCCUGCACUUCGGGAUAAACCUGGGAAACUGGGUCUAAUACCGGAUAGUGUGGGAUGGGCCCGCGGCAUAGCAGCUUGUUGGGGGGGUAAUGGCCUACCAAGGAGGCGACGGGUAGCCGGCCUGAGAGGGUGGACGGCCACAUUGGUCCUGAGACACGGCCCAGACUCCUACGGUAGGCAGCAGGGGGGAAUCUUGGACAAUGGGCGGAAGCCUGAUGCAGCGACCCCGCGUGGGGGAUGACGGCCUUCGGGUUGUAAACUCCUUUCACCAUCGACGCGGUAGAUGGAGAAGAAGCACCGGCUAACUACGUGCCAGCAGCCGCGGUAAUUC